UACGGGGGGAGCAAGCGUUGUUCGGAUUUACUGGGCGUAAAGGGCGCGUAGGCGGCGUGACUAGUCACUUGUGAAAUCUCCGGGCUUAACUCGGAACGGUCAAGUGAUACUGUCGUGCUAGAGUACAGAAGGGGCAACUGGAAUUCUCGGUGUAGCGAUGAAAUGCGUAGAUAUCGAGAGGAACACCUGCGGCGAAGGCGGGUUGCUGGGCUGAUACUGACGCUGAUGCGCGAAAGCCAGGGGAGCGAACGGG
rnacentral:rRNA from 1 species